UGUUUUCUAAAAAAGGCUUCGUAUCAUCAAUUUUUUCGAAGAGUUGGUAGGUGCCUUCUUCUGGUGCAAUUACAGGCAAAACAA
rnacentral:tRNA from 1 species